CCUACGGGAGGCUGCAGUAGGGAAUCUUCCACAAUGGGCGAAAGCCUGAUGGAGCAACGCCGCGUGGGUGAAGAAGGUCUUCGGAUCGUAAACCCUGUUGUUAGAGAAGAAAGUGCGUGAGAGUAACUGUUCACGUUUCGACGGUAUCUAACCAGAAAGCCACGGCUAACUACGUGCCAGCAGCCGCGGUAAUACGUAGGUGGCAAGCGUUAUCCGGAUUUAGUGGGCGUAAAGGGAACGCAAGCGGUCUUUUAAGUCUGAUUGGAAAGCCUUCGGCUUAACCGGAGUAGUGCAUUGGAAACUGGGAGACUUGAGUGCAGAAGAGGAGAGUGGAACUCCAUGUGUAGCGGUGAAAUGCGUAGAUAUAUGGAAGAACACCAGUGGCGAAAGCGGCUCUCUGGUCUGUAACUGACGCUGAGGUUCGAAAGCGUGGGUAGCAAACAGGAUUAGAUACCCCAGUAGUC
rnacentral:rRNA from 1 species